CUUCACUAUCGGAAACUAACGGCAUUUGCAAAAACUUGUUGUUCGCGUUUCUUCAGCUAUUAUAAUAUCAUAUCACAGUAAAACAGCAUCCUUAAGAAUGCUUACU
rnacentral:lncRNA from 1 species